rnacentral:rRNA from 1 species
CCUACGGGUGGCAGCAGUGGGGAAUAUUGGACAAUGGGCGAAAGCCUGAUCCAGCCAUGCCGCGUGUGUGAAGAAGGCCUUCGGGUUGUAAAGCACUUUCAGUGGGGAAGAAAGCCUUGGGGCUAAUACCCUCGAGGAAGGACAUCACCCACAGAAGAAGCACCGGCUAACUCCGUGCCAGCAGCCGCGGUAAUACGGAGGGUGCGAGCGUUAAUCGGAAUAACUGGGCGUAAAGCGCGCGUAGGCGGUCUGAUAAGCCGGUUGUGAAAGCCCCGGGCUCAACCUGGGAACGGCAUCCGGAACUGUCAGGCUAGAGUGCAGGAGAGGAAGGUAGAAUUCCCGGUGUAGCGGUGAAAUGCGUAGAGAUCGGGAGGAAUACCAGUGGCGAAGGCGGCCUUCUGGACUGACACUGACGCUGAGGUGCGAAAGCGUGGGUAGCAAACAGGAUUAGAUACCCGAGUAGUC